AAAAAUCUUGGACUUGGACCUCUCUCAUUUGAGCCCACAAAGCCACGAAAAUCAGGUUAUAAAUUCUAAAAAAAAAAUCAGUGGAAAAACCCUAGAGAAAUUCUAACUAAUUCAGAGCAACCUCCAGAGACUGAAGGGAACUCAUCUGCAAAGAACCAAUUCCCUCUCAUAUAAACCCUAAGAUUGUUCUGCAAAGCCAACGGUGCAAU
rnacentral:lncRNA from 1 species